AUGGAGCAGCACACAGCAUCGUCACCACUAUCUUUCACCAGUAACCCUGCUGACUACUGGAACAACAUGGAGGAGGAACCUUCAACCAGCAGUUCAGAUGAAUUAAUGAGUCUGACAAGACAAAGUGUGGGAAUUAAGAGCAAAGGACCAGAAGUAGCCCAGAUCCCAGAUCCAAGCAGUUUAGGACUACAAGGUCCUGAUGGAAUGGAAACAGUCUUGUCUCAGACUGAAGAUAGUGUGGAUUAUGAAGAUGAUGACGUAGACUAUUGGCAGAAACCUCUGUUAGAGUCUGAAGUUGAAACUGAAGCUGACUUUGAAUCCCCCAGGAAAAAGAGAAAGAUGACUGACUCAAGUGAAUAUCCAAGCAGUUUAGAACUACAGGGUCCUGAUGGAACGGAAACAGACUUGUCUCAGACUGAAGAUAGUGUGGAUUAUGAAGCUGAUGAUGUAGACUAUUGGCAGAAACCUCUGUUAGAGUCUGAAGCAGAAACUGAAGGUGAAGCUGACUUUGAAUCCCACAGGAAAAAGAGAAAGAUGUUUGACUCAAGUGAAUAUCCAAGCAGUUUAGGACUACAAGGUCCUGAUGGAACGUCAACAGUCUUGUCUCAGACUGAAGAUAGUGUGGAUUAUGAAGAUGAUGAUGUAGACUAUUGGCAGAAAUCUCUGUCAGAGUCUGAAGCAGAAACUGAAGCUGAAGCUGACUUUGAAUCCCACAGGAAAAAGAGAAAGAUGUUUGACUCAAGUGACUAUCCAAGCAGUUUAGGACUACAAGGUCCUGAUGGAACGUCAACAGUCUUGUCUCAGACUGAAGAUAGUGUGGAUUAUGAAGAUGAUGAUGUAGACUAUUGGCAGAAAUCUCUGUCAGAGUCUGAAGCAGAAACUGAAGCUGAAGCUGACUUUGAAUCCCACAGGAAAAAGAGAAAGAUGUUUGACUCAAGUGACUAUCCAAGCAGUUUAGGACUACAAGGUCCUGAUGGAACGGAAACAGACUUGUCUCAGACUGAAGAUAGUGUGGAUUAUGAAGAUGAUGAUGUAGACUAUUGGCAGAAAUCUCUGUCAGAGUCUGAAGCAGAAACUGAAGCUGAAGUUGACUUUGAAUCCCACAGGAAAAAGAGAAAGAUGUUUGACUCAAGUGACUAUCCAAGCAGUUUAGAACUACAAGGUCCUGAUGGAACGGAAACAGACUUGUCUCAGACUGAAGAUAGUGUGGAUUAUGAAGAUGAUGCUGUAGACUAUUGGCAGAAAUCUCUGUCAGAGUCUGGAAGCAGAAGCUGA
rnacentral:lncRNA from 1 species